UAGAUUUUUAGUUGAUGGAUUAUUGCUCCAAUUGAGUUAAAGUCUACUCUUUUUUAACACACAAUAUUAUCUACACUAAUGGGGACUGAUGUGAGUUUAGUCUCACAAUAAACUAGCAAUAAUAUGGUUCAAAUUCACCUUUGGCGAGAAUCGAACCUAAGACCUCUCACUUACAAGUGAAAAUGAAUACAAUUAGACUGUAAUACUAAGUGAUCAGUGUAAGUUUUAAUUUCUUUUUCUUCUCAAGACUUAGAAAAUAAAACUCUCUUAUUCUUUUUUUUUUUUUUUUUUUGGUACAAAGGAAGGUCUACAGCCAGAAACACACAAAAACAAUUAAACAAAUUUGGGUCUAGCAUCCUCCCAUAAAUCUUCGUGAACUAAAUCACCAACAUCAUUUGGAGGAGCCUUUGAAGUAUGACAACUAUACUCCAUAGAAGCACCAAUUCCUGUUAAUUUAUCCGCAACAUAGUUCUUUUUCCUAGAAGGUUGCUGAACCCUACAUAAGCCAGCAUGCAUUUAAGAUUUAUAGAAGCCACCAAGUUAAAGAGAGGGGCAAAUGAUGACAAGCUAACUCAUCAAGCGUAUACACUGUAAUUUAAUUUAGAAUAAGAGGUAAACCAAUUCUGUAGAAAAGCCAUUCUUAAUUCAUAUAAAAUCGCUCCUAACUCAGCUUGCAACGCACCAAGCAAGAAAAUGGCAGAAUUGACUGGCUAGCUCGGGCAAGCAACACAGAACCAUGACCAAAAUUAACAGCAAACCCAGCAUUCAAAUGCCACUGGAGUCCCGUAACACCACACAAGAACCAAUAACUCUCUCUUAUUCUCUGUACACGCCAAGAAAAUGAAGUAGAGAUGAAAAGCUUGGUUUUAUAGACUCAUCUCAAUUUUUGGUCAUUGAAUUGAAUAAAUAAAACAAUAACAAAGAGCUUGAUUAAACAGUAUGUGUAAGAGCAAAAAAGUGUGUUUAUUAUUAUUUUUUCA
rnacentral:lncRNA from 1 species